CGUGAGAACAACUUAUAUCUACCAGGCAAAACCAGGCAGUAAUAAGAUUGCCCAAACCUUUUAAUACUGGACUAUCAAUUAAAGAGACUGUAAAUUCAGUUGUUGCCCUGACAAGGUUUUUGUUGAGCGAAGGAUUUGAGUGUGUGCUCACAGAACGGUUCUGCCAGGAUGAUAUACGAUGUUUAAGAGUAUUUCGGUUUAAUACCAGCGAGCACAAGGGAGAAGGAAUGAUAUUUUACUGUAAAACCCAACAGCAGCUGACAACCAUUCAAGGAAAUGUUUCAAUUCUGGACGGCAUUCUGGUAUUAAAGCGAAGCAAGUGGUGUAAAUGUGUAAUGUGAGUGAGGAGUCAUUGCCCAAAGAGAAGAACAUAAAACAAUCAAGAAAUAGUGUUCUUGAACAUGUUAUGAGAACAAUAGUUAACAAGUAAUGCAAAAUAUUGAUCAUUUUGCGAGAACUCUUGUAG